UACGUAGGGGGCAAGCGUUGUCCGGAAUCAUUGGGUGUAAAGAGCGUGUAGGCGGCUCGAUAAGUCUGCUGUGAAAGUCCAGGGCUCAACCCUGGAAGGCCGGUGGAAACUGUCGGGCUAGAGUCCGGAAGAGGCGAGUGGAAUUCCCGGUGUAGCGGUGAAAUGCGCAGAUAUCGGGAGGAACACCAAUGGCGAAGGCAGCUCGCUGGGACGGUACUGACGCUAAGGCGCGAAAGCGUGGGGAGCGAACAGG
rnacentral:rRNA from 1 species